ACAUCGAAAGCUUGCUUUUGAUGGGCGUCGACCGGCGCACGGGUGAGUAACGCGUAUCCAACCUGCCCAUCACUUGGGGAUAACCUUGCGAAAGUAAGACUAAUACCCAAUGACGUCUCUAGAAGACAUCUGAAGGAGAUUAAAGAUUUAUCGGUGAUGGAUGGGGAUGCGUCUGAUUAGCUUGUUGGCGGGGUAACGGCCCACCAAGGCGACGAUUGGUAGCCGGACUGAGAGGUUGAACGGCCACAUUGGGACUGAGACACGGCCCAGACUCC
rnacentral:rRNA from 1 species